UCCUGGUUUCCCAGGCAGUCCUGCCAGAGUGCCUUCCGAAGAAGUAGCAACUGACAGCAGGGGUUGCGCUCGUUAAAGGACUUAACCCAACAUCUCACGACACGAGCUGACGACAGCCAUGCAGCACCUGUGUACCUGUCCAAGUAAACCUGGAAAACCAUGUUUCCAUGGCGGUCAAGUACAUGUCAAGCCUAGGUAAGGUUCCUCGCGUAGUGUCGAAUUAAACCACAUGUUCCACCGCUUGUGCGGACCCCCGUCAAUUCCUUUAAGUUUUAGUCUUGCGACCGUAAUCCCCAGGCGGAUCACUUAACGCGUUAGCUUCGACACAGAUUCUGCUAAGCAAAACCCACAUCUAGUGAUCAUCGUUUACAGCGUGGACUAC
rnacentral:misc_RNA from 1 species